GUAGUAUUCUACCGCCAUUGAUUUGGAACAACACAGAGAAGAUUAGCAUGGCCCCUGCGUAAGGACGACAUGUAUAACUUGAGAGGCCGCUGGAUGUAGAUCCAGCUUUUACUUUAAUAUCUUUUGUUUCUCUUUUUAUCUAAA
rnacentral:snRNA from 1 species